rnacentral:rRNA from 1 species
AGCAGCCGCGGUAAUUCCAGCUCCAAUAGCGUAUAUUAAAGUUGUUGCAGUUAAAAAGCUCGUAGUUGAAUUUCGGGGUUAGUAGGUUGGUCAUGCCACUGGUAUGUACUGAUCUUACUGAUUCCUCCUUCCUGAUGAACCGUAAUGCCAUUAAUUUGGUGUUGCGGGGAGACUGGACUGUUACUUUGAAAAAAUUAGAGUGUUUAAAGCAGGCUAACGCUUGAAUACAUUAGCAUGGAAUAAUGAAAUAGGACGUUCGAUCCUAUUUUGUUGGUUUCUAGGAUUGACGUAAUGAUUAAUAGGGAUAGUUGGGGGGCAUUAGUAUUCAAUUGUCAGAGGUGAAAUUCUUGGAUUUAUUGAAGUACUAACUACUGCGAAAGCAUUUGCCAAGGAUGUUUUCAUUAAUCAAGAACGAAAGUUAGGGGAUCGAAGACGGAUCAGAUACCGUCG